AUGACACCAAAAUCGCUCGUUUUCGUAAUAAAAACGGAUACAAAAAAAGGCGCUGUCCUGGGUCCUGGUGACACUCAGUGGGACGGUGACCUCGUCGUCCUUCAGGUGGCCCCCGCUGUGGGGAGACCCCAAAUUCUUCUGUUCUUACCCAAAACCUUCAGUUUUUACCCCAAAUCCUUCUGUUCUUACCCCAAAUUCUUCUGUUCUUACCCCAAAUCCUUCAGUUCUUACCCCAAAUCCUUCCGUUCUUACCCAAAACCUUCAGUUCUUAAAAAACUCUUUAUUUUUUACCCAAAUCCCUCAGUUCUUACCCCCAAAUCUUCAGUUCUUACCCAAAGCCUUCAGUUCUUACCCAAAACAUUCACUUCUUACCCAAAACCUUCAGAUCUUACCCCAAAACCUCCAGUUCUUACCCAAAACUUUCAGUUCUUACCCCAAAACCUUCACUUCUUACCCAGAACCUUCACUCCUCACCCCAAAAUCUCUCAUUCUCACCCCAAAAACCCCCACGCCAGAACCCCCCUCCCUCCGCCCCAUUCCCCCGUCUCCCCCACUGGAGGAGCGGGUCCAACCCCGGCCUCAUCGUUUUGGGGUCAGAAAGGUGAAUUUUGGGGUCUGGGGUCCCUCACCGCCUCUCCACGUCCUCCACGGUUUCGGGCAGCGGAGCGUUGCGCGUUUCGGGGAGGAAAAGAGCAGCGAUGGCCGCCACGAUGGGGGCUGCCCCAUAGACCAGGGGGGGCAGCAGGGGGGCCACGUCGGCCCCCAUCCGCACCAGUGGGGCCACCAUGCUGCCCACACGAGCCAUGCUGCCCCCCAGCCCCAUCCCUGUCUGCCUGCGGGGGGAGACGGAGGGGGAGAUGGGGGGAGGGAGAGGGAGAGAGGGAGGGAGGGAA
rnacentral:lncRNA from 1 species